rnacentral:rRNA from 1 species
UACGUAGGGCGCGAGCGUUAUCCGGAAUUAUUGGGCGUAAAGAGCUCGUAGGCGGUUUGUCACGUCUGCUGUGAAAACUGGAGGCUCAACCUCCAGCCUGCAGUGGGUACGGGCAGACUAGAGUGCGGUAGGGGGAGAUUGGAAUUCCUGGUGUAGCGGUGGAAUGCGCAGAUAUCAGGAGGAACACCGAUGGCGAAGGCAGAUCUCUGGGCCGUAACUGACGCUGAGGAGCGAAAGCAUGGGGAGCGAACAGG